rnacentral:rRNA from 1 species
UACCAGCACCCCGAGUGGUCGGGACGUUUAUUGGGCCUAAAGCAUCCGUAGCCGGUUCUACAAGUCUUCCGUUAAAUCCACCUGCUUAACAGAUGGGCUGCGGAAGAUACUAUAGAGCUAGGAGGCGGGAGAGGCAAGCGGUACUCGAUGGGUAGGGGUAAAAUCCGUUGAUCCAUUGAAGACCACCAGUGGCGAAGGCGGCUUGCCAGAACGCGCUCGACGGUGAGGGAUGAAAGCUGGGGGAUCAAACCGG